rnacentral:rRNA from 1 species
UACGGAGGGAGCAAACGUUGUUCGGAUUUACUGGGUGUAAAGGGUGCGUAGGCGGCUACGUGUGUCAGAGGUGAAAUCCCACGGCUCAACCGUGGAAUUGCCUUUGAAACUGCGUGGCUUGAGUCCGAGAGAGGAAGACGGAAUUCCUGGUGUAACGGUGAAAUGUGCAGAUAUCAGGAAGAACACCGGUGGCGAAGGCGGUCUUCUGGCUCGGUACUGACGCUGAGGCACGAAGCUAGGGUAUCAAACG